UUAUCCUAACUCCCCGCAAGGGAGAUGGGUGGGGGGGCUUUCUAACCGUCCAUCACCAUUCCCGUGCAGGCGCCAGACGCUGUAGUCUGUGCCUGACUGCAGGUAAACCUUGUGAAACAACGUAAGGGGUGAGAGGGAAGCAUACAAGAAUCGGGGCUCUUCGGCCCCUAGCCGGACUGCCUCCCCUUCGCAGCGUUAGAUCCGAUGCACAUGGAGGAAACAAUGGAGGCUAUGCGGGAUAUAGAUAGACUUUGGCCUGGGAUUGAUGUCCCGUUUUCUUGCCUGGACGUUCUGAUCUGCACGCAGAUCUUGGGCUGGCGAUGCCCAGAGGAAGGGACAAUACUGUAGUGCCACAUGAGGAUGGGUUACUUUGAUGGAGGAAGGGGAUGAGGAGGGUCCAGCGUCAAUCGCCUUUUGCAAUCCGUUCCCUUGAGCUCAUCUUCAAAGAUAUGUGUGUGUGGUCCACAGUUCUCAGAGGACAGAAAAAAAAUCUUCCCAAGUUACUGUCCCCAAAAUGUAUUCAGAUCACAACUCCAAUUAAUCCACUGACUAAGAACCUGGCACUCUCUGCAGCUUCUUGUGAGAGACAAAGGAAAAAAAUCUUCCAGAACUUUAGAAAGGAAAUUCUUCUGUGGACCAACAUGCAGGAGAGCUAUGAAACUGUGAUCUCAUUGGCAGAAGAACUUGCCAUAAGCUGGCCUCGGAUAACUGCCUUUACAGAGAUUCGAGGACGCCAAGGUUUGGCCCCUGGCUUAGAAAUAGAACCUGAGCAAGGGCAGCUGGCUCCUUUACAGGGCGAGGCAGAAGCAACUACAGAUGGGUCAAGUGGGGAAGGGAUCCUUCCAGACAUUCGUAGGCAACUUGGGGUAAUUCUGCAAACUAUAGGGAAGGCUCAAGUGGAGAAGAUGCUCAAGGAGUUGGUGAAGGAGCAGGAGCAGGAGCAGCAGAGAAGAGUCAGGCGGCGGAAAAGAAUGAGCAGGAGCCCUCGACAUGGAGGUGGUGAAACAGCGGAACAAAGUAACUUGGAGACUUCAAGGGAUCUUCAGACUGGAACAGUGGAAGGACCAGCUGUGCUAUCCAGAAAACCAUUUGGGAAUGAAGUGCAAGGUUCCAUCAAAUGUCCAGGGCUGGCAGGACCAAAGCAACCCAAGAUGAUUCGUGGUGACAUGAGAGGGUAUAAGAAUAAUCCUGCCCAGCAAAAUCCUCUAGGAACAAGAUGGGGAGCGGAACCUAGAGAGAAUGUUAACCGCAGUCCAUUUUCAAACAUGAGCUAUGACUCCCAGGAAGCUGGGAGAAUCUGCCCAUCUUUCGUUGAAAGACCCCAGUUCUUAGGAUGGCAGAAGCCCCAUUACACACAAAGGCGUCAGCGUUUACCUGCAGGGGAGAAGCCCCAUCACUGUGGAUUAUGCAGGAGAACUGUUGUGAUCCCACCAUUAAGACCUAACUCCCCUCAUAAUUCUGCAUUGAUUCCUUUCUUGAAUUCUGCCUCUGAAUUUUCUUCUGCCUUGACUCUGAAUUCUGUAGGGCCACUGAAUACCCAGGCUCUGCCAGGUAACCCAGCUUCUGCCCAGUCUCAAAAACCCCAUGCCUGUGAGGAAUGUGGCAAAAGAUUCAGAAUCCUAGCAAACUUGGAACGGCAUCAGCAGCGUCAUGCAGCAGAAAAACCACACCAGUGCAGAGACUGUGGCCGCCGUUUCCGCUGGGGUUGUCACUUAGAGCGCCAUAGGCGAUCACGCCGCUGUGUGGAAUGUGGUGGAGGCCUUGCAACACCACCUCCACCCCCAACUCCACCUCCAGAACCUGACCGACCUUAUUCCUGUGGGGAGUGUGGGAGGCGGUUUACACAGCGCUCAGCGCUCAGCAAACAUAGGCGACUGCACUCAGGGGAGCGUCCCUAUGGAUGUAUAGAGUGUGGGAAACGUUUCCUGCAACGCUCUGACCUCACUAUUCACAUCCGCUCACAUUCUGGUGAGCAACCCUAUGCUUGCACAGAGUGCGGACGGCGCUUUAGUGUCAGUUCAAAUCUCAGCAAACACAGACGCAUGCAUCGGGGGGAGCGCCCUCAUGCAUGUUCUGUCUGCUCUAAACGCUUCCUGCAGCGCUCAGAACUUCUUAUCCACCAGCGUGCUCACACUGGGGAACGCCCCUAUCCAUGCACAGCUUGUGGAAAGCGCUUUGCUCGCCGGGCUCAUCUUAAACGCCACCAGCGAACCCAUGGGGGAAUGCCUGCCACAGCUACUGCAUCUCGGCACCAGAAUGCUCAUCUUUUCAUUGCUCCCUCACCAGAUGCUAUGUCCUUCGUCAACAUCAACAGCAUGAAUCUUGCGUGACUGAUGUCCUUAAAUCAUAUGCUUAAGCCAAUACAGUUGCCUGUGCUCUCUUUAGGAUGUCUUCCCUUCUGCUCAUAGAAUUUUUGCUGGGAACAAUCUUGAGUUCAGAUUAGCCCAUAGAAACAGCAUCGUAUUAGCCCCUUAUCCUUGUCUGUUUGGAGGCUUGGCAGUUUUUUCUGCUUGGACCUCCUUAGAACUUCUGUGUUUGCCCUUAUAUUAUAGGGUACGGAGCCAGUGAAAUUAUUCAUGAUCAUCUGCUACAUUCCCUUACUUGUUGAUUUAUCUUGGUAAUACCAUUAGGGUGUCAAGUUUGACAAGUCUGAAGAGGAAAGACACAAUAAUUUUACUGUCCAAAGUUAACUGCAGUUCAUUGAUGCAAGUAAUUAUGUCUUGCAAACCAUAGUCAUAACAGGCAUUUAUUACAGAUUCACAGAUGUAGUUCUUUUUUCUCUUGAAAUGGUCCAUUACAUGAUUCUCCUUGUCUUCCCUAUUUUUGAAAAUUUAAACAGUUCCCAACAUUACCCCUGGCCACAAAUCUCAUUUUGAGCAGAUUUGUUGUUUCUUUUGAUGGGAAAGAAAUCCAAAUAGGCUUCUCUGAAGGACUUUGAACUCAUUACCUGUAGACAAAAAAUGACGUACUUCUUGUUGAAUCUACAGUUUAUAUUAGAAUAGACAUAUUGUAGCAGUCAGUCUAUAACUGAUUGAGUUGGAUGCAUUUUAUGUCAAGGUGGUCUAUGCUUCUACAGCUCCAAAGGAUGAUCAGGUCCAAGCAUUGGAUGAUCCAGAACUCUCAUGAGAGAACAGCAGUUAAGAAUCAGGAAACAGAGUGGUGUUGUGAUUUGGGCCUCACAGCUAUUUGUGGAAUUUGGAAAAAGAUGAGCCAUGCCUUCAAAAAUGUUAUUGGUGCUCUUUCACCAUCUGCUCCUGAGAGAGCAAAGUUGGAACUGUCUGUUGUUGAGAAUUCUGGACUGGAGCAUUUUAGAAUGGAGAGAGUCUGCUUGCUACAUCUACUGGUGAUUCAGCCAGCUUUGAAGAGAAUGGUAAAGUUGCUGCUGUGUAAGGACAACAAUAUUUUGGUACACACUACUGUGACAGGCAACUCCCAGGAUACUUAUGCAAAUAACUAAAGAAAUUUUGUUUAAUUAAUGUUGGCUGACGAUUCUGAAAGAAAAAACAAUCUUCCAGAGAAAAUUUCAGUCCCAGAAAUCACAUUCCUGAGGAUUCUCUGCAGCAAUGGUAAGUUUACUCAUUAAUUCACCUAAAGUUGGUUAUACAACAAGUGGGUCCUUUGAGAUAAAAUAGAUAUCAUAGCAUAUUUUCCAGCUGAUUAAAAAUGAUGAUAGAAGUAGGAUCCAAUUUGAAAAAAUAAAAUAAAAGAUUUGCUGUAUCACAAACAAUGGCUGAAAUUGAUUUCUUGAUAACUAAGCUGUAGGGAGGCAAGAUACAGAAGGAAGAAAAAGUUCUUGCCCUUUAAGUUUGACACAGAUAUUCUUCAGGAAUAAGUGUUCCUUGUUCAGACAUAAAACUAUCAGUGUGCAGUUUAUCUUAUUUUGAUUUUCUUUAGGCCAAUUUUGCAUGCUAAUUUACCAUUCUGGUUGAGAAUUCCCAUAUAAUACAAGAUUGAAAAGGACUAUUCUAGACAUUAUAUCAAUCUUAAAAGCUGGAAACAAAAUAUUUGGAGAGGAAAAAACUCAAGGAACUCUUCUCAUCUUAAAAUUGUUUUCAAUUUUUUAAA